AGUUGCAAACGAGAGUUUCUAUUGGACAAAUUCAUGUAUGUUUAUCCCCGUUGUGUUCUUUUAGCUUCCGUUUAAGAAACGUUUUUCAACAGAAUACACCCUGUAAAGAUUCUCGUUGGUGGAAGGAGAGGAGGACCAAAAUGCAGCGUGAGGACCUGAGCCCUUGGACCAUGCCUCAGGACUACCUGGCAUGAUGACUCCUUGCUGUCCCCAGUCCACCUGGCCAUGCUGCUGCUCCAGUUUCAACUGUUCUGCCUGUGAUUAUUAUUAUUUGACCAUGUUGGUCAUUUAUGAACAUUUGAACAUCUUGGCCAUGUUCUGUUAUAAUCUCCACCCGGCACAGCCAGAAGGGGACUGGCCACCCCUCAUAGCCUGGUUCCUCUCUACCCAGUACAGCCAGAAGAGGACUGACCACCCCUCAUAGCCUGGUUCCUCUCUAGGUAUCUUCCUAGGUUUUGGCCUUUCUAGGGAGUUUUUCCUAGCCACCGUGCUUCUACACCUGCAUCGCUUGUUGUUUGGGGUUUUAGGCUGGGUUUCUGUACAGCACUUUGAGAUAUCAGCUGAUGUAAGAAGGGCUAUAUAAAUACAUUUGAUUUGAUUUGAUUCAGUUACACACACACACACACACACACACAGCUCCUGCAGCACACAUGUCAGAUGCUCAGCAUGAAAUCAUUUAAAGUCUUCAGGAUCGGUGGGUCAGUAGGCUAAUGUGAUUAGAAUGAGGUUGUAAGUAACAAGAACAUUUCCCAGGACAUAGACAUAUCUGAUAUGGGCAGAAACCUUAAAUUCUUGUUAAUCUAACUACACUGUCCAAUUUACAGUAGCUAUUACAGUGGAAGAAUACCAUGCUAUUGUUUGAGGAGAGUGCACAGUUAUGAACAUGAGAAGUUAUUAACCUUAAGGGCCAAAUAGCAUUCUGAAGCCGCAGGCAUCUAGUGUUAUGGUACGAUGCCCAAAUGGAGCAGGUGUUUAAUUAUAGUUUAGUUGAAACUCUAUGUCGAAAGAUGACCAGCGAGUGUCCUGUCUCUUCUUGCUGCUAAGUUCGCUCUCGCUCACAGCCAGCGCUUUGUUUUGUCUAGUGAGAGAUAGCCUAUGUAGCAUAGAGAUAGCCUAUGUAGCAUCAUGGUUGUUGUUUUUUACUACAGAGCGAACAUGAUCUGUGUAAAGUUACUACCAUCAAUAUCAGCCAUGGUGAUGCUAACAGUACUGUUGUUCUUUAUGGAUGUUGCCAUGGUUUCUAUGUGCUCAACAUCCUCAGCCUACUGUGGAGACUGGCACCCAAUUACCUAUGUAGAAAUGGCACCCUAUUCCCUAUGUAGGGCACUACUUUUCACCAGGGCCCAUAGGGCACAAUAAAGGGAAUAGGUUCCCAUUUGGGAGUCAGCCAUAAAGCUUUUUGUCCAGCCUAGCAUUAGCCUAUUAUAUAUUAUACUAGAGUUGCCAUUACAGCUGCCUGAUCCCACAUUGUCUAUUUGUAGAAAUAGCUUGACAUCAUUGCAGUGUUUUGGAGGAUCUAUUGUGAAUGAUCGCUCCUUAUAACACAACUUGUAUGCUCAGGUAGCCUAGUGAUUAGAGUGUUCGAUUAAUAACCGUAAAGGUUGCUGGAUCGAAUCCCCGGGCUGACAAGGUAAAAAUCUGCCGUUCUGCCCCUGAACAAGGCAGUUAACCCACUGUUCCUCGGGCGCCGAAAACAUGGAUGUCGAUUAAGUCAGCCCCCCCGCACCUCUCUGAUUCAGAGGGCGGAAGACACAUGUCAAUUGUACAACUGACUCGGUAUCUCCCCCUCCUUCUAUAUUGCUCAUAAAGACCAUCUUGUUGCCAUUGCAGGAUCAUGAUUAGUAUUAUUGUUGGGUAGGUAUUAGUACAUAAUAUAUGAUGACCACAGGGUAUUGGGGAUCUGUUGUGAAAAAAACGCUCCCUUCGACAGAUCCCGUAUGCUCUCAAAAAUUGCACAUGAAGUCCUGUGAUUACAGUAUUUUGACCGAAUAACUAAUUCCAACAGCUGUUAAGUAGAUGAUCUAUUGCUAGUAACAGUGUUUUUACGGUGGAGGACCUGCAGCACGGUGACACAUAACUAUGAUAGUUGUAUUAUUUCAGUGUGUGUCUAUUAUUUCAGUCUGUGUCUUCGCCCUUAUUAAAGGGCACACCGUAGGAGACAUGCUGUCACUAUCCGUCUACGUUCUGUCAACCACAGAGUUGAUUAAAUUAUUUUAUUUUUUCUCAUCAAUCUAUACACAAUACCCCAUAAUGACAAAAGCGAAAACAGAUUUUUUUGUAACAUUUGCAAAUGUAUACAAAAUGAAUAACAGAAAUACCUUAUUUACAGAAGUAAUCAGAGUAACCCUGAGUGCUUUCUGAAUACACUGUACUUCCCUCAGAUUACACAGACCCACAAAUAAUUUAAAAACAAACCCAAUGUUGAUAAACUCCCAUAUCUGCUGGAUGAAAUACCACAGUGUGACAUCACAGCAGCAAGAUGUGUGACCUGUUGCCACAAGAAAAGAGCAACCAGUGAAGAACAAACACCAUUGUAAAUACAACCCAUAUUUAUGUUUAUGUUGAUUUAUUUUCCAUUUUGUACUUGAACUAUUUGCACAUCAUUACAACACUUUACAUAGACACAUUAUUACAUUUUAAACGUCUCUUUUCCUCUGGAACUUAUGUGAGUGCAAUGUUUACUAUUCAUUCUGUACUGUUUAUUGCACUUUUGUUUAUUGUCUUUCACUUGCUUUGCCAAUAAAGCCCCUUAAAUUGAAAUUGAG
ensembl:lncRNA